rnacentral:tRNA from 1 species
GUGUCUGUAGCCUAGUGGUAAAAGGCAGCACUCUAGAUGCUGAGGUUGUGGGUUCAAAUUCCACCAGACACA